rnacentral:rRNA from 1 species
CGCGUAGGCGGGCGGACAAGUCUCUCGUGAAAUCCCACGGCUCAACCGUGGAACUGCGGGAGAUACUGUCUGUCUUGAGUCCGGGAGAGGAGGGUGGAAUUCCCAGUGUAGCGGUGAAAUGCGUAGAUAUUGGGAGGAACACCGGUGGCGAAGGCGGCUCUCUGGACCGGUACUGACGCUGAGGCGCGAAAGCUAGGGGAGCAAACGGGAUUAGAUACCCCGGUAGUCCUAGCCGUAAACGAUGAGCACUUGGUGUGGCGGGUAUCGACCCCCGCCGUGCCGAAGCUAACGCAUUAAGUGCUCCGCCUGGGGAGUACGGUCGCAAGGCUGAA